rnacentral:tRNA from 1 species
UUUCAAGGGAUGGGAAUCGAACCCACGACCUUACGCUUACCGGGCAGAUGCCAUGACCACUAGGCUACCCUGGA